GUUUAUACAGUAUUUAAAAAUGUUAAACAAAACAAUUCAAGAUAAUAAGUUAGAUCAACCAUUUCUAUAAAAGUAUGCCUUGGUAUGAUGCCUAAAGUCUAAAGCUUAAAAAUGCGUAUUGUUAUGCGUUUACUUUUCUACAUUGGUUAGAGGUAUAGGGGGAGGGUUGAGAUCUCACAAACAUGUUUAACCCCGCCGCAUUUUUGCGCCUGUCCCAAGUCAGGAGCCUCUGACCUUUGUUAGUCUUGUAUUAUUUUAAUUUUAGUUUCUUGUGUACAAUUUGGAAAUUAGUAUGGCGUUCAUUAUCACUGGACUAGUAUAUAUUUGUUUAGGGGCCAGCUGAAGGACGCCUCCGGGUGCGUGAAUUUCUCACUACAUUGAAGACCUGUUGGUGACCCUCUGCUGUUGUUUUUUUAUUUGGUCGGGUUGUUGUCUCUUUGACACAUUCCCCGUUUCCA
rnacentral:lncRNA from 1 species